CCCGCCAGACCUGACUGCUAUCGGAUUGAUACUAAGCCAUGCGAGUCUUUGCAGUAAUGCAAGGCAGACGGCUCAGUAACACGUAGUCAACUUACCCUAUGGACGAGGAUAAUCUCGGGAAACUGAGCAUAAUACUCGAUAGAUCAUAAUGCCUGGAAUGGUUUAUGAUUAAAAUGAUUCGUCGCCAUAGGAUGGGACUGCGGCCUAUCAGCUUGUUGGUGAGGUAAUGGCCCACCAAGGCGAUUACAGGUACGGGCUCUGAGAGGAGAAGCCCGGAGAUGGGUACUGAGACAAGGACCCAGGCCCUAUGGGGCGCAGCAGGCGAGAAAACUUUGCAAUGUGCGAAAGCACGACAAGGUUAAUCCGAGUGAUUUCUGCUAAAGAAAUCUUUUGCAAGUCAUAAAACCACUAGUGAAUAAGGGGUGGGCAAAUUCUGGUGUCAGCCGCCGCGGUAAAACCAGCACCUCAAGUGGUCAGGAGGAUUAUUGGGCCUAAAGCAUCCGUAGCCGGCUCUGUAAGUUUUCGGUUAAAUCCAUGUGCUCAACGCAUGGGCUGCCGAAAAUACUGCAUAGCUAGGGAGUGGGAGAGGUAGACGGUACUCAGUAGGAAGGGGUAAAAUCCUUUGAUCUAUUGAUGACCACCUGUGGCGAAGGCGGUCUACCAGAACACGUUCGACGGUGAGGGAUGAAAGCUGGGGGAGCAAACCGGAUUAGAUACCCGGGUAGUCCCAGCUGUAAACGAUGCAGACUCGAUGAUGCAUUGGCAUAUAGCCAGUGCAGUGUCGCAGGGAAGCCGUUAAGUCUGCCGCCUGGGAAGUACGUACGCAAGUAUGAAACUUAAAGGAAUUGGCGGGGGAGCACCACAAGGGGUGAAGCCUGCGGUUCAAUUGGAUUCAACGCCGGA
rnacentral:rRNA from 1 species